rnacentral:rRNA from 1 species
GGGACACGUGGUAUCCUGUCUGAAUAUGGGGGGACCAUCCUCCAAGGCUAAAUACUCCUGACUGACCGAUAGUGAACCAGUACCGUGAGGGAAAGGCGAAAAGAACCCCGGCGAGGGGAGUGAAAAAGAACCUGAAACCGUGUACGUACAAGCAGUGGGAGCCUCUUUAUGGGGUGACUGCGUACCUUUUGUAUAAUGGGUCAGCGACUUAUAUUCUGUAGCAAGGUUAACCGAAUAGGGGAGCCGAAGGGAAACCGAGUCUUAACUGGGCGUUAAGUUGCAGGGUAUAGACCCGAAACCCGGUGAUCUAGCCAUGGGCAGGUUGAAGGUUGGGUAACACUAACUGGAGGACCGAACCGACUAAUGUUGAAAAAUUAGCGGAUGACUUGUGGCUGGGGGUGAAAGGCCAAUCAAACCGGGAGAUAGCUGGUUCUCCCCGAAAGCUAUUUAGGUAGCGCCUCGUGAAUUCAUCUCCGGGGGUAGAGCACUGUUUCGGCAAGGGGGUCAUCCCGACUUACCAACCCGAUGCAAACUGCGAAUACCGGAGAAUGUUAUCACGGGAGACACACGGCGGGUGCUAACGUCCGUCGUGAAGAGGGAAACAACCCAGACCGCCAGCUAAGGUCCCAAAGUCAUGGUUAAGUGGGAAACGAUGUGGGAAGGCCCAGACAGCCAGGAUGUUGGCUUAGAAGCAGCCAUCAUUUAAAGAAAGCGUAAUAGCUCACUGGUCGAGUCGGCCUGCGCGGAAGAUGUAACGGGGCUAAACCAUGCACCGAAGCUGCGGCAGCGACACUAUGUGUUGUUGGGUAGGGGAGCGUUCUGUAAGCCUGUGAAGGUGUGCUGUGAGGUAUGCUGGAGGUAUCAGAAGUGCGAAUGCUGACAUAAGUAACGAUAAAGCGGGUGAAAAGCCCGCUCGCCGGAAGACCAAGGGUUCCUGUCCAACGUUAAUCGGGGCAGGGUGAGUCGACCCCUAAGGCGAGGCCGAAAGGCGUAGUCGAUGGGAAACAGGUUAAUAUUCCUGUACUUGGUGUUACUGCGAAGGGGGGACGGAGAAGGCUAUGUUGGCCGGGCGACGGUUGUCCCGGUUUAAGCGUGUAGGCUGGUUUUCCAGGCAAAUCCGGAAAAUCAAGGCUGAGGCGUGAUGACGAGGCACUACGGUGCUGAAGCAACAAAUGCCCUGCUUCCAGGAAAAGCCUCUAAGCAUCAGGUAACAUCAAAUCGUACCCCAAACCGACACAGGUGGUCAGGUAGAGAAUACCAAGGCGCUUGAGAGAACUCGGGUGAAGGAACUAGGCAAAAUGGUGCCGUAACUUCGGGAGAAGGCACGCUGAUAUGUAGGUGAAGUCCCUUGCGGAUGGAGCUGAAAUCAGUCGAAGAUACCAGCUGGCUGCAACUGUUUAUUAAAAACACAGCACUGUGCAAACACGAAAGUGGACGUAUACGGUGUGACGCCUGCCCGGUGCCGGAAGGUUAAUUGAUGGGGUUAGCGGUAACGCGAAGCUCUUGAUCGAAGCCCCGGUAAACGGCGGCCGUAACUAUAACGGUCCUAAGGUAGCGAAAUUCCUUGUCGGGUAAGUUCCGACCUGCACGAAUGGCGUAAUGAUGGCCAGGCUGUCUCCACCCGAGACUCAGUGAAAUUGAACUCGCUGUGAAGAUGCAGUGUACCCGCGGCAAGACGGAAAGACCCCGUGAACCUUUACUAUAGCUUGACACUGAACAUUGAGCCUUGAUGUGUAGGAUAGGUGGGAGGCUUUGAAGUGUGGACGCCAGUCUGCAUGGAGCCGACCUUGAAAUACCACCCUUUAAUGUUUGAUGUUCUAACGUUGGCCCCUAAUCGGGGUUG